rnacentral:rRNA from 1 species
UACGUAGGGUGCAAGCGUUGUUCGGAAUCACUGGGCGUAAAGGGCGCGUAGGCGGCUUGCCAAGUCAGGUGUGAAAUCCCGUGGCUUAACUGCGGAACUGCGCCUGAAACUGGUAGGCUUGAGUACGGGAGAGGGUAGCGGAAUUCCGAGUGUAGAGGUGAAAUUCGUAGAUAUUCGGAGGAACACCGGUGGCGAAGGCGGCUACCUGGACCGAUACUGACGCUGAGGCGCGAAAGCGUGGGGAGCAAACAGGAUUAGAUACCCUGGUAGUCCACGCUGUAAACGAUGAGUGCUAGGUGUCGCGGGUAUUGACCCCUGCGGUACCGCAGCUAACGCAUUAAGCACUCCGCCUGGGGAGUACGGCCGCAAGGUUAAA